rnacentral:rRNA from 1 species
AUUGAACGCUGGCGGCAGGCCUAACACAUGCAAGUCGAACGGUAACAGAAAGCAGCUUGCUGCUUUGCUGACGAGUGGCGGACGGGUGAGUAAUGUCUGGGAAACUGCCUGAUGGAGGGGGAUAACUACUGGAAACGGUAGCUAAUACCGCAUAACGUCGCAAGACCAAAGAGGGGGACCUUCGGGCCUCUUGCCAUCGGAUGUGCCCAGAUGGGAUUAGCUAGUAGGUGGGGUAAUGGCUCACCUAGGCGACGAUCCCUAGCUGGGCUGAGAGGAUGACCAGCCACACUGGAACUGAGACACGGUCCAGACUCCUACGGGAGGCAGCAGUGGGGAAUAUUGCACAAUGGGCGCAAGCCUGAUGCAGCCAUGCCGCGUGUAUGAAGAAGGCCUUCGGGUUGUAAAGUACUUUCAGCGAGGAGGAAGGUGUUGUGGUUAAUAACCACAGCAAUUGACGUUACUCGCAGAAGAAGCACCGGCUAACUCCGUGCCAGCAGCCGCCGUAA